ACGGGUGAGUAACGCGUGGGAAUCUACCCAUCUCUACGGAAUAACGCAUGGAAACGUGUGCUAAUACCGUAUACGUCCUUCGGGAGAAAGAUUUAUCGGAGAUGGAUGAGCCCGCGUUGGAUUAGCUAGUUGGUGGGGUAAAGGCCUACCAAGGCGACGAUCCAUAGUUGGUCUGAGAGGAUGAUCAGCCACACUGGGACUGAGACACGGCCCAGACUCCUACGGGAGGCAGCAGUGGGGAAUAUUGGACAAUGGGCGCAAGCCUGAUCCAGCCAUGCCGCGUGAGUGAUGAAGGCCCUAGGGUUGUAAAGCUCUUUCACCGGUGAAGAUAAUGACGGUAACCGGAGAAGAAGCCCCGGCUAACUUCGUGCCAGCAGCCGCGGUAAUACGAAGGGGGCUAGCGUUGUUCGGAUUUACUGGGCGUAAAGCGCACGUAGGCGGACUAUUAAGUCAGGGGUGAAAUCCCGGGGCUCAACCCCGGAACUGCCGUUGAUACUGGUAGUCUUGAGUUCGAGAGAGGUGAGUGGAAUUCCGAGUGUAGAGGUGAAAUUCGUAGA
rnacentral:rRNA from 1 species